rnacentral:ribozyme from 13 species
AAAGAAGAAGGAGAAAAAGGAGAAAAAGGAGAAGAAAGAGAAGAAAGAGAAGAAGGACAAGAAGGACAAGUCGUGAGGUUCGCGUCCUUUCUCC